UCAUCAAUGUUUCUGCUAGGGCCACUUGACCUGGAUGUUGAGCCCUUGCCUCUCCCACUUCUAACCCUGCUGCUUCCACCUCCCAAGCUCCUUGAGCUAGUUGUCCUGCUGCUGGCACCAUGAGAGUCCACAUCUGAUAGACCAUUCUCCAACGCCCGAACCAAAUUCUCAAAGUAGUUCCGAGUCACACUGGUCAAUCCAGCAAGUUUAGUGCGGAACUCAUUGAAAUCCUUUGAUGGGCCCUCCGCAUUUAGAUAAGCCUGAAGCUCCUUCUCAGCACAUUGAUGAAGACG
rnacentral:misc_RNA from 1 species